GGAAGGGUAACGUUGGAGGGUUUGGAAGGGUAACGUUGGAGGGUUGGGAAGGGUAACGUUGGAGGGUUUGGAAGGGUAACGUUGGAGGGUUGGGAAGGGUAACGUUGGAGGGUUGGGAAGGGUAACGUUGGAGGGUUUGGAAGGGUAACGUUGGAGGGUUUGGAAGGGUAACGUUGGAGUGUUGGGAAGGGUAACGUUGGAGGGUUUGGAAGGGUAACGUUGGAGGGUUUGGAAGGGUAACGUUGGAGUGUUGGGAAGGGUAACGUUGGAGUGUUGGGAAGGGUAACGUUGGAGUGUUGGGAAGGGUAACGUUGGAGUGUUGGGAAGGGUAACGUUGGAGGGUAGGGAAGGUUAAAGUUGGUGUUUACGAAGGAUGUAGUUGGAACGUUAGUGUGUAUCUAAAUAAUCGAUAAUAUGUCAACCAGACAAUAGCGUAUUCAAUAGAACGGAAAAAGAACGAAGGGCGUGCACAGUCUCGAGCGCAAACCAGUACUGCAUGCUUCCCCAGUCCCCUAACCAAAAGGUAUUUUUCUUUGUCGUUUUUUCAGAAAACAAGCCUGAAACCAUGUCUAAAGACUGUUGACAUCUAGUGGAAGCCAUAGGAACUGCAAUCUUGGCCCUAACCAAUUACAUAGUCAAUAGGCAUUCAAUGGAAAACCACUCACAUUAAAAAAAUCCCACUUCCUGGAUGGAUUUUCCUCGGGUUUUCACCUGCCAUAUCAGUUCUGUUAUACUCAGACAUUUUUUUAACAGUUUUAGAAACGUCAGAGUGUUUUCUAUCCAAUUCUACCAAGUACAGUGGGGCAAAAAAGUAUUUAGUCAGCCACCAAGUGUGCAAGUUCUCCCACUUAAAAAGAUGAGAGAGGCCUGUAAUUUUCAUCAUAGGUACACUUCAACUAUGACAGACAACAUUUUUUUUAAAAUCCAGGAAAUCACAUUGUAGGAUUUUUUAUUAAUUCAUUUGCAAAUUAUGAUGGAAAAUAAGUAUUUGGUCAAUAACAAAGUUUAUCUCAAUACUUUGUUAUAUACCCUUUGUUGGCAAUGACAGAGGUCAAACGUUUUCUGUAAGUCUUCACAAGGUUUUCACACACUGUUGCUGGUAUGUUGGCCCAUUCCUCCAUGCAGAUCUCCUCUAGAGCAGUGAUGUGGGGGGUGGCAGGGUAGCCUAGUGGUUAGAGUGUUGAACUAGUAACCGGAAGGUUGCAAGUUCAAACCCCCGAGCUGACAAGGUACAAAUCUGUGAUUAUGAUUGGUUAAGUUAGAUGGGUGAAGUUGGAGGGUUACGAAAGGCUAAAGUUUGUAUUAGGAAGUCUACAGUGGAUUAGGAAUGGUAAAGUUAGGGUUGACAUUAGGACGGGUAAAGUUAGGGUUGACAUUAGGAAGGGUAAAGUUAGGGUUGACAUUAGGAAGGGUAAAGUUAGGGUUGACAUUAGGAAGGGUAAAGUUAGGGUUGACAUUAGGAAGGGUAAAGUUAGGGUUGACAUUAGGAAGGGUAAAGUUAGGGUUGACAUUAGGAAAGGUAAAGUUAGGGUUGACAUUAGGAAAGGUAAAGUUAGGGUUGACAUUAGGAAAGGUAAAGUUAGGGUUGGCAUUAGGAAGGUGAAGUUAGGGUUGGCAUUAGGAAGGUGAAGUUAGGGUUGGCAUUAGGAAGGUGAAGUUAGAUGGUUUAUGGUUAGGAAGGUGAAGUUAGAUGGUUUAGGGUUAGGAAGGGGUGAAGUUAGGGUUGGCAUUAGGAAGUUGAAUUUAGAUGUUUUAGGGUUAGGAUGGGUGAAGUUAGGUUUGGCAUUAGGAUGGUGAAGUCAGAUGUUUUAGGUUUAGGAAGGGUGAAGUUAGAUGGUUUAGGGUUAGGAAGGUGAAGUUAGAUGGUUUAGAUUUAGGAAGGGUGAAGUUAGAUGGUUUAGGGUUAGGAAGGUGAAGUUAGAUGGUUUAGGGUUAGGAAGGUGAAGUUAGAUGGUUUAGGUUUAGGAAGGUGAAGUCAGAUGGUUUAGGGUCAGGAAGGGUGAAGUUAGAUGGUUUAGGUUUAGGAAGGGUGAAGUUAGAUGGUUUAGGGUUAGGAAGGGUGAAGUUAGAUGGUUUAGGGUUAGGAAGGUGAAGUUAGUUGGUUUAGGGUUAGGAUUGUGAAGUUAGGGUUGACAUUAGGAAGGUAAAGUUAGAUGGUUUAGGGUUAGGAAGGUGAAGUUAGAUGGUUUAGGUUUAGGAAGGGUGAAGUUAGAUGGUUUAGGGUUAGGAAGGUGAAGUUAGAUGGUUUAGGGUUAGGAAGGUGAAGUUAGAUGGUUUAGGUUUAGGAAGGGUGAAGUUAGAU